GCCGGCGUAGCUCAGUUGGUAGAGCAACGCAUUCGUAAUGCGUAGGUCCGCGGUUCGAAUCCGUGCGCCGGCACCA
rnacentral:tRNA from 3 species